rnacentral:rRNA from 1 species
GACGAACGCUGGCGGCGUGCUUAACACAUGCAAGUCGAACGGAAAGGCCCUGCUUUUGUGGGGUGCUCGAGUGGCGAACGGGUGAGUAACACGUGAGUAACCUGCCCUUGACUUUGGGAUAACUUCAGGAAACUGGGGCUAAUACCGGAUAGGAGCUCCUGCUGCAUGGUGGGGGUUGGAAAGUUUCGGCGGUUGGGGAUGGACUCGCGGCUUAUCAGCUUGUUGGUGGGGUAGUGGCUUACCAAGGCUUUGACGGGUAGCCGGCCUGAGAGGGUGACCGGCCACAUUGGGACUGAGAGACGGACCAGACUCCUACGGGCGGCAGCAGUGGGGAAUAUUGCACAAUGGGCGGAAGCCUGAUGCAGCAACGCCGCGUGCGGGAUGACGGCCUUCGGGUUGUAAACCGCUUUCGCCUGUGACGAAGCGUGAGUGACGGUAAUGGGUAAAGAAGCACCGGCUAACUACGUG